rnacentral:rRNA from 1 species
AAAAUGUUUAUAAAGGAUCUCUAUGCAAAUAAGAAAAGGACGUAAGAAUGAACGAAAGGUUAUAGGGAAAACAUAAAAAAAAGCUAGAAAUAGCAAUUGAAGAUCUAUAAAUAUCCGAGGGGAGACCAAGAAAAGACAAGAAACGCAGUGAAUUGAAACAUCUUAGUAACUGUAGGAAAAAAAAUCAAAAGAGAUUCGGUAAGUAGUGGUGAGCGAAAGCCAGAGCAGAGUAAAAGAAGACCAUUAGAAGAAGACUGAAAUAAGGGUGGAAGUCCAAGGCAAAAUAAGGUGAAAGUCCAGUAAGGGAAAGGACUAAUGGUAAAGAAGUAAAACGAAGAAAGGAGGAAUUAGUUUGAAUAAUGGGGGUCCACCCCCAAACUCAACAUAUGCUUAUUUGACUGAUAGUGAACAAGUACUGUGAAGGAAAGAUGAAAAAGAAAAUUUAGGAGAAGAUCUAAUAAAGUGAAAAGAACGUGAAAUUGUAAACAUGAUGAGCAGUUGGAAGUAAAAUAACAACGUACCUUUUGUAUAAUGGGUCAGCGAGUUAAUAAAUCGUAGCAAGCUUAAGAUGAUAAUUGUAGGCGUAGCGAAAGCGAAUCUUAAUAGGGUGUGUUAGAGUUACAUUUAUUAGACCCGAAACCAAGCGAUCUAAUUAUGAACACGCAUUUUAUACUUUUUGUUAUAAUUUGGCGGAACCCGUGACUGUUGCAAAAGUUUGGGAUGAUUUGUGAUUAGGGGUGAAAGGCUAAUCAAGCUUGGUGAUAGCUGUUUUUUACGAAAUCUAUUUAGGUAGAGUGGUGGUAGAGAAAGAUUUAUAGUGGUAGAGCACUGAGUAGUUAACCUAAGGUUAUUAUUUAAACUUCGAAUACUAUUAAAUAAGGUCCCCACUAAGCAGACUAUGAGCGCUAAGGUCCAUAGGUCGAAAGGGAAACAGCCCAGAUUGUAAGUUAAUGUUCUUAAAUAAUAGUGUAGUGUCAAAGGCAAGGAGAAAGUGAAGUUAAUUGGAAAGUAGGAUUGGAAGCGACCAUCUUUUAAAGAAAGCGUAAAAGCUCACCAAUUUAAGGCGUUCUCUAGCCAACAAUGUACAGGAACUUAAUAUUAUACAGAAACUACAAAAUUAAAAAAUUGGUAGUAAAAUCUUCCGUAUAAUUGUGAAGUUAAAUUAAGAAGAUUUAAUGGAGUUAUCGGAAUAAAGAAUGCUGAUAUGAGUAAUGUAAAUAAGGUUAAAACCUUAUCGCUGAAAAUUAGAAGUUUCCUAAUAAAAAGGUAGACUGAUUAGGGUUACGCGAUCGCUAAGAUUAAUAUGAAAAUAAAAAAUCGAUGCGCAUUUAGAUUAAUAAUUCUAACGUUUUUAUUGAAGUUUUAAUUGACAUGUGUAUAAAAUAUAAUUAUAUUAUACUUAAAUUAUAGAUUAUGUUUUAUAUAAGUUUUAAAAAUAGAUUAAAACAAAAAGUAUUUCGAUAUUUUUUAAAUAAAAAAUCGUACUUAAACCGACACUGGUUAAUUGAUAGAGUAUAUUAAAGUGUAGAAUGAAUGAUUCUGAAGGAACUCGGCAAAAUGACUCUGUAACUGCGGGAGAAAGAGUACCUUUAUUUGAAAGAAUGAAGGUCACAGAAAAGAGGGGAUGGCGACUGUUUAAUAAAAACACAGGAUUCUGCAAAAUGGUAACAUGAUGUAUAGGGUCUGCGACCUGCCCGGUGCUCUAGGAGGAAAAGGAGAAUUGCAAGAUUUGAAUUGAAGUCUGAGUAAACGGCGGCUGUAACUAUGACGGUCCUAAACAUACUUUGGGUCUUUGUAUUGGUAACAUACAAAUAAUAAUUUGGCUAUAUGCUGGAAAGUCUGUUUUUAAGAAUAUUAUUAAUAUAAAAGGAAUUUUGUUAUAAUAUUUAACUUAUAAAGUAUCUUUAAAUUGUAAAGUUUAAAGUGCAGAUAAUCAGCAGGGAAGUUCACUGAUUUAAUAAAAAUAAAUUAUAACCCCUCAACGACUACACGCCGAAUAUCCAUUAUUUGAGAGACAUAAUGGAUAAUGAUAUAGUCUGAUCUUUAUAGCGAUAUAAAGGUUAUUAUUUAAAUUUUUAAAUAAUAACGAUUAAAUAUAAUAAUUAAAAAAAAGAAAAAAAUGAUUAAACAAAUAAUAAUAGAUAUAAGUAAGCAAAUAAAUAUAAAUAUAAAUACGGAACACUUAGUUGUUUCACAAGGACUGAAUUAAUAAAUUUAAAGAAUGCAUUAAUAAAAAAUUUCAAUAUUCCAGCUGAAAUUAAAUUUCAUAAAAUAAGUAAAUAUGGAAUACCAGAAUAUAGAAUCCAUAUUUAUGCAGAACAUUGUAAAAUAUUUAAAAAAUUAGUAGAACCUUAUAUAUAUGAUU